rnacentral:rRNA from 1 species
GAUGAACGCUGGCGGCGUGCCUAAUACAUGCAAGUCGAGCGAACAGACGAGGCGCUUGCUCCUCUCACGUUAGCCGCGGACGGGUGAGUAACACGUGUAUAACCUACCUAUAAGACUGGGAUAACUUCGGGAAACCGGAGAUUAUACCGGAUAAUCUACUGAACCGCAUGGUUCAAUAGUGAAAGACGGCUUUGCUGUCACUUAUAGAGGGAUCCCGGCCGCAUUAGAUAGUUGGUAGGGUAACGGGCUACCAAGGGAAGGAUGCGUAAGCGACGGGAGAGGGGGGUCGGCGACACGAGAGGGGGGACACGGUCCAGGGUACUAAGGGAGGCAGCAGUAGGGAAUGUGCCGCAAUAGGCGAAAGCCUGACGGAGCAACGGGGCGUGAGUGAUGGAGGUCUUCGGAUCGUAAAACUCUGUUAUGAGGGAAGAACAAAUGUGUAAGUAGCUAUGCACGGCUUGACGGUACCGGAUCAGAAAGCCACGGCUAACUACGUG